rnacentral:rRNA from 1 species
AAACAACAGGGAUUGCCUUAGUAACUGCGAGUGAAGCGGCAAGAGCUCAAAUUUGAAAUCUGGCACCUUCGGUGUCCGAGUUGUAAUUUGUAGAAGCAUCUUUUGGAUUGGUCCUUGCAUAUGUUCCUUGGAACAGGACAUCAUAGAGGGUGAGAAUCCCGUUCAUGGUGGGGAAUCCAAUUCUUUGUAAAGUGCUUUCGAAGAGUCGAGUUGUUUGGGAAUGCAGCUCUAAGUGGGUGGUAAAUUCCAUCUAAAGCUAAAUAUUGGCGAGAGACCGAUAGCGAACAAGUACAGUGAUGGAAAGAUGAAAAGAACUCCGAAAGGAGAGUGAAAAAGGACGUGAAAUUGUUGAAAGGGAAGUGCUUGAGAUCAGUCUUAAGGUUUAGUGAUCAGUCUUCCUUUUGGUUGGUGCACUCACUAUUUCUUAGGCCAACAUCAGUUUUCGCGGCAGGAUAAUGACAUUGGAAUGUGGCUCUUUCGGGAGUGUUAUAGCCUUUGUUGAUACUGCCUGCUUAGACUGAGGACCGCGCUUUUGCUAGGAUGUUGGCAUAAUGAUCAUAACA